rnacentral:rRNA from 1 species
UUUAUGGAGAGUUUGAUCCUGGCUCAGGAUGAACGCUGGCGGCGUGCCUAAUACAUGCAAGUCGAGCGAACGGAUGAGAAGCUUGCUUCUCUGAUGUUAGCGGCGGACGGGUGAGUAACACGUGGAUAACCUACCUAUAAGACUGGGAUAACUUCGGGAAACCGGAGCUAAUACCGGAUAAUAUUUUGAG